rnacentral:sRNA from 1 species
UGUAUCUGAAGCCUGACGAGGAUGAGAACCUCCGGGGGCAAGAGGUUCGACCCGAGCGAAGCGAGAGAACGUUGCGUCAGCAACGGCCCGCAGGGCGAGCCACGCAGUGGCGAGUCAUCCUCUAUCA